CGAAAGUAGUGGCGAGCGAAAUCGGAUGAGCCUUUACGUUUUAGCACGCAGGAUAGUCGAACGGAAUGGAAAGUCCGGCCGUAGCAGGUGAUAGCCCUGUAGACGAAAUUCUGUGUGUGGAACUAAGCGUAAGACAAGUAGGGCGGGACACGUGAAAUCCUGUUUGAAGAUGGGGGGACCAUCCUCCAAGGCUAAAUACUCGUGAUCGACCGAUAGUGAACCAGUACCGUGAGGGAAAGGCGAAAAGAACCCCGGAAGGGGAGUGAAAUAGAUCCUGAAACCGUAUGCAUACAAACAGUAGGAGCCUCCUUGUGGGGUGACUGCGUACCUUUUGUAUAAUGGGUCAGCGACUUACAUUCAGUGGCAAGGUUAACCGAAUAGGGAAGCCGUAGCGAAAGCGAGUCCGAAUAGGGCGAUUUAGUCGCUGGGUGUAGACCCGAAACCAGAUGAUCUAUCCAUGGCCAGGUUGAAGGCACGGUAACACGUGCUGGAGGACCGAACCCACUAAUGUUGAAAAAUUAGGGGAUGAGCUGUGGAUAGGGGUGAAAGGCUAAACAAAUCUGGAAAUAGCUGGUUCUCUCCGAAAACUAUUUAGGUAGUGCCUCAAGUAUUACUGCGGGGGGUAGAGCACUGUUAUAGCUAGGGGGUCAUGGCGACUUACCAAACUAUGGCAAACUCCGAAUACCCGCAAGUACAGCUUGGGAGACAGAGCACCGGGUGCUAACGUCCGGACUCAAGAGGGAAACAACCCAGACCGCCAGCUAAGGUCCCGAAUUAUCGCUAAGUGGGAAACGAAGUGGGAAGGCAUAGACAGUCAGGAGGUUGGCUUAGAAGCAGCCAUCCUUUAAAGAAAGCGUAAUAGCUCACUGAUCGAGUCGUCCCUGCGCGGAAGAUGUAACGGGGCUUAAGCG
rnacentral:rRNA from 1 species